rnacentral:miRNA from 1 species
AAUACAAGAUGCUUAGUUAAACUGGCAUUUCAGAUAGACAAUAAAAUUUUUUUAAGCAUAAGUAUGUCCCAUGCAAUGUUUGGGAUAUACUUAUUCUAAAAUUUUGUUGUUGUUUAUCUGAAAUUCAAAUUGAACUGGGCAUCCUGGUUUUU